rnacentral:rRNA from 1 species
AGUGAACGCUGGCGGUAGGCCUAACACAUGCAAGUCGAACGGCAGCACAGUAAGAGCUUGCUCUUACGGGUGGCGAGUGGCGGACGGGUGAGGAAUACAUCGGAAUCUACUUUUUCGUGGGUGAUAACGUAGGGAAACUGACGCUAAUACCGCAUACGACCUACGGGUGAAAGCAGGGGAGCUUCGGACCUUGCGCGUUUGAAUGAGCCGAUGUCGGAUUAGCUAGUUGGCGAGGUAAAGGCCCACCAAGGCGACGAUCCGUAGCUGGUCUGAGAGGAUGAUCAGCCACACUGGAACUGAGACACGGUCCAGACUCCUACGGGAGGCAGCAGUGGGGAAUAUUGGACAAUGGGCGCAAGCCUGAUGCAGCCAUACCGCGUGGGUGAAGAAGGCCUUCGGGUUGUAAAGCCCUUUUGUUGGGAAAGAAAAGCAGCAGGUUAAUACCCGGCUGUUCUGACGGUACCCAAAGAAUAAGCACCGGCUAACUUCGUG